GAAACUGAGGAUAAUAUUUCAUAGUUGAAUUGGCUUGGAAAAGUUUUUCAAUCAAAGAGAUAACAAAAAUGGUUGUUAUCUGCCAUAGGAUAGGAUCGUGGUCGAUUAUGGUUGUUGGUGAGGUAACGGCUCACCAAGCCGACAAUCGAUAGGGGCCGUGAGAGCGGGAGCCCCGAGAUGGGUACUGAGACAACGACCCAGGCCUUACGAGGCGCAGCAGGUGCGAAACCUCCGCAAUACACGAAAGUGUGACGGGGUUACCCAAAGUGUUCAUUAUUGAACUGUGGUAGGUGAGUAAUGUCCCCUACUAGAAAGGAGAGGGCAAGGCUGGUGCCAGCCGCCGCGGUAAAACCAGCUCUUCAAGUGGUCGGGAUAAUUAUUGGGCUUAAAGUGUCCGUAGCCGGUUUAAUAAGUUCCUGGUAAAAUCGGGUAGCUUAACUAUCCGCGUGCUAGGAAUACUGUUAUACUAGAGGGCGGGAAAGGUCUGAGGUACUACAGGGGUAGGGGUGAAAUCUUAUAAUCCUUGUANGACCACCAGUGGCGAANGCGUCAGACUAGAACGCGCCUGACGGUGAGGGACGAAAGCCAGGGGANCGAACCGGAUUANAUACCCGGGUAGUCCUGGCCGUAAACGAUGCAUA
rnacentral:rRNA from 1 species